GACAGAGGUGCCGAGCGUUAGGCGGAAUCACUGGGCUUAAAGCGUGUGUAGGCGGAUCCGUAAGUACCUUGUGAAAUCCCACGGCUCGACCGUGGAACUGCUUGGUAUACUGCGGGUCUUGAGCCAUCUAGGGGCAACCGGAACAAACGGUGGAGCGGUGAAAUGCGUAGAUAUCUGGAGGAAUACCGGUGGCGAAGGCGGCAUCCUGGACCGGCAUUGACGCUGAUGAGCGAAAGCUAGGGGAGCAAACGGG
rnacentral:rRNA from 1 species